AUUUUAGGUAGGAAGGUUUCUGGGGGGCGAAUCAGGAACAAAAAAAGGUUCGAAUUUGCCAGGUAGACUUUUCCGAGGUGGGGAAAAUGCUUUUCAAUGUUUUUUGGCUUUGAAAUGUUGGAGCUCGACGAGGUUACAGGCAGAUGCUCUUCCUAGUACUUCAGUGUUUGAAUAUACAGGUUGGCAGUGUAGGUGCAGGAACCGAGCUACCCUCUUGUGGAGGUUGUGAAGAUGCUGUCCAGAUUGGUGACAUUCUGCCCGACUCCAGCGACCUGCUUGUAAAGGGAAUUGCUGGAUUCUCAAUCUCUGCAUAUCCUUCAUCCUAAAGUACCUGCAUUCGCCACAGCAGCACAUCAUGGUUUGCAUGCUUGUACUAAAUAUCCAAACCAUUGUGUGCUGUUAUGGGGAGUGUGGGAAAAUCUGGCCAAGAGUGGGACUAAAAGGUAGUUUUUGGGGUUUGUACGGAAUGAAAAUGCUUUCCACCCUACAACUGGCUUUCUCCCUAAUUGCUAUCUAGUUUAAAAAAGACUUUUAGUUUCAAACAUUAUGAAUAUCAUGCUGCUCAGGAAUCCACCCAAUUUAUGUAACAUUGAAUUUUCUCUCAUAUUUAGACUUCCUUUCUUACUCAUUCCAUAUCUUCCCCACACUCCCCUCUAAUUUUUAACAUUUUAAUAUCAUCAGCAAUUCUGAACUUUAGUUUCUUCUUGGUACCUUUUAACUAUCUUUGAGUUCUUGUUGCAUUGACAGUAAGAAUCACUGCUCUAACAUAUUCUUAACUAAUUCUUUCUCAGCAUCUCAUGUCCAUGGACUGCCUUAAUUCUUGGCAGGUUUUCAGAACCCAUGUAUAAUUAACAUUUAAACUUAAUCUUUGCAUUUUUCAUCUGUGCUAGUUUUAAAAAUAACUAGAUUUCUAAUUUGGUAUUGGUUUGUCAGAAUUGAUAUUAGCCAGAAUGAUAUUGUUUUUUAAUCUAUCUUGAUUCUCACUGCAAACUUAGAUUGUUUGUUGGGCUCCAGAUUCCAUUUUCUAAGGCUCCAUAGCAUUUA